CGAGACCAGGACGUUGAUAGGUCGGGUGUGUAAGCGCAGUAAUGCGUUCAGCUAACCGAUACUAAUUGCCCGUAAGGCUUGAUCCUAUAACA
rnacentral:rRNA from 1 species